UUUGACCACUUUACUGUGGAAGGAUGAACGGGUUGCAAUAAAAUGGUGGCUGCGACUGUUUAAUAAAAACACAGCACUCUGCAAACACGAAAGUGGACGUAUAGGGUGUGACGCCUGCCCGGUGCUGGAAGAUUAAAUGAUGGGGUGCAAGCUCUUGAUUGAAGUCCCAGUAAACGGCGGCCGUAACUAUAACGGUCCUAAGGUAGCGAAAUUCCUUGUCGGGUAAGUUCCGACCUGCACGAAUGGCGUAACGAUGGCCACACUGUCUCCUCCCGAGACUCAGCGAAGUUGAAAUGUUUGUGAUGAUGCAAUCUACCCGCGGCUAGACGGAAAGACCCCAUGAACCUUUACUGUAGCUUUGCAUUGGACUUUGAAUCAAUCUGUGUAGGAUAGGUGGGAGGCUUUGAAGCGGGGACGCCAGUUCUCGUGGAGCCAUCCUUGAAAUACCACCCUGGUUCAUUUGAGGUUCUAACCUUGGUCCGUUAUCCGGAUCGGGGACAGUGCAUGGUAGGCAGUUUGACUGGGGCGGUCUCCUCCUAAAGUGUAACGGAGGAGUUCGAAGGUACGCUAGGUACGGUCGGACAUCGUGCUAAUAGUGCAAUGGCAUAAGCGUGCUUAACUGCGAGACCGACAAGUCGAGCAGGUACGAAAGUAGGACAUAGUGAUCCGGUGGUUCUGUAUGGAAGGGCCAUCGCUCAACGGAUAAAAGGUACUCUGGGGAUAACAGGCUGAUUCCUCCCAAGAGUUCAUAUCGACGGGGGAGUUUGGCACCUCGAUGUCGGCUCAUCACAUCCUGGGGCUGUAGCCGGUCCCAAGGGUAUGGCUGUUCGCCAUUUAAAGUGGUACGUGAGCUGGGUUUAAAACGUCGUGAGACAGUUUGGUCCCUAUCUGCCGUGGGCGUUGGAAAUUUGAAGGGGGCUGCUCCUAGUACGAGAGGACCGGAGUGGACGAACCUCUGGUGUACCGGUUGUCACGCCAGUGGCAUUGCCGGGUAGCUAAGUUCGGAAGAGAUAACCGCUGAAAGCAUCUAAGCGGGAAACUUGCCUUGAGAUGAGAUUUCCCGGAGCCUUGAGCUCCUUGAAGGGUCGUUCGAGACCAGGACGUUGAUAGGCUGGGUGUGGAAGUGCAGUAAUGCAUUAAGCUAACCAGUACUAAUUGCCCGUACGGCUUGUCCCU
rnacentral:rRNA from 1 species